rnacentral:misc_RNA from 1 species
GAUGAAGAACGUAGCGAAAUGCGAUAAGUAAUGUGAAUUGCAGAAUUCAGUGAAUCAUCGAAUCUUUGAACGCACAUUGCGCCCGCCAGCAUUCUGGCGGGCAUGCCUGUUCGAGCGUCAUUUCAACCCUCAAGCUCUGCUUGGUGUUGGGGCCCUACGGUUGACGUAGGCCCUUAAAGGUAGUGGCGGACCCUCUCGGAGCCUCCUUUGCGUAGUAACUAACGUCUCGCAUUGGGAUUCGGAGGGACUCUUGCCGUAAAACCCCCAAAUUUUCUAAUGGUUGACCUCGGAUCAGGUAGGAAUACCCGCUGAACUUAAGCAUAUCAAGCGGAGGA